rnacentral:lncRNA from 1 species
GUUUAAAUGUUUAAACAGAGGAUACAUCUAAAACAGGAUAAAACAAGUGCAGUAUGUUCUGAGAAUGUUACUGUUUGUCCAGUGUGUGGGGGUGUUUGUCCAGUGUGUGUGUGUGUGUGUUUGUCCAGUGUGUGUGUGUGUGUGUGUGUUUGUCCAGUGUGUGUGUGUGUGUGUGUUUGUCCAGUGUGUGUGUGUGUGUGUGUGUGUGUGUGUGUUUGUCCAGUGUGUGUGUGUGUGUGUGUUUGUCCAGUGUGUGUGUGUGUUUGUCCAGUGUGUGUGUGUGUUUGUCCAGUGUGUGUGUGUGUGUGUUUGUCCAGUGUGUGUGUGUGUGUGUGUGUGUUUGUCCAGUGUUUGUGUGUGUGUGUCCAGUGUGUGUGUGUGUGUGUCCAGUGUGUGUGUGUGUGUGUCCAAUGUGUGUGUGUGUUUGUCCAGUGUGUGUGUGUGUGUGUGUGUGUGUGUGUGUGUUUGUCCAGUGUGUGUGUGUGUGUGUGUUUGUCCAGUGUGUGUGUGUGUGUGUGUGUGUCCAGUGUGUGUGUGUGUGUGUGUGUGUCCAGUGUGUGUGUGUGUGUGUGUCCAGUGUGUGUGUGUGUGUCCAGUGUGUGUGUGUGUGUCCAGUGUGUGUGUGUGUGUCCAGUAUGUGUGUGUGUGUGUCCAGUGUGUGUGUGUCCAGUGUGUGUGUGUGUCCAGUGUGUGUGUGUGAG